rnacentral:lncRNA from 1 species
AAUGUCGGAUGACCCAGUUAGUCCAAGACAGGAAGACCAGGCCCCAUGCUACAGGCCUGGCACAGAGUAAACAAGUCCAGGCCCCAGUCUACAGGCCUGGCACAGAGUAAGGCACGGUUAUGGGACUUGAAGACCAGGAGCCAGAGGAGGCCCUGGGAAAAUGGUAAGUAAUGUAUGUUCUGACAGGAAAGACCAGGACCCCAUUCUACAGGCCUGGCACAGAGUUAACUUGGACUAAUUGGUGACGAGUUCGCCCAACCCUUAUGUGAAUUGUUUGUGUUAUGAUGCAUCUCAUAGAGCAUAGUGUUGAUGUGUUUUAAUAGCUCUACUCACUGGGCUUUUAGCUCACCCCUCUCCCUUUUCCCCCAGGCUUACAGGUACAGGAUAUAGUACGAGAGUCCGGAUAGAGUAAAGAAGUCAUGCCUAUGUAAUAGCUAGCAAUGGACAUGAUCAAAUUGUAAUGUAAAAGUACAGUAUAGUUAUGUGAUGAGUUUUAUGGAUGUUAGUGUGUGCUUGACCAUAGAAUGUUGUAUCCCUUUUUAUACAUGAUCUUAGAGAUUUUGAUGAUGUUUAUGUAAACCAGCUCAACACAGGUUAUGUUACCCUUUGAGGGCACAGAUGAGAUCCCACAGAGGGAUCAAAGUUAUGUUCAUAUUUAUGCACAGGUUGAGUUUGGUUGAUG